GACUUACUCCCUCCGUCCGAAAAUACUUGUCAUCAAAAUGGACAAAAAAGAAUGUAUCUAAAACUAAAAUGAGUCUAGAUACAUUCUCUUUUAUUCAUUUUGAUGGCAAGUAUUUCCGGACGGAGGGAGUAUUAG
rnacentral:pre_miRNA from 1 species